GAUGAGACGUUUUCUACUUUGAUUGCUUCCCAAAAUGGCGCCAUCAAAUACUUAUUCUUCCUCCGUUACACCACAAAGUAUACCCCGCCUCAAUGUUAUUAACAUCUGCAAUCAAGAGAAUGUUUUACUAUAUAAAUGCUCCAUCGGAUCUGUAAUUUGUUGCAAGGUUAGUAUGUUUCUCAAAGCUUAAUUAUUUGUCAAGAUUUGUAUGGUGAUAGGCAAGUUUUUUAUUCCAAAAACUUGCUUUGGUAAGCCCUAAGAAAGGGUGCUGGAGAAUCAAAAUUGCGAAUGCAGAAUGAAGAUGGAAAUAGGGAAUAGGAAUUACAGUUCAUAAAAUGUGAUGUGUAUCUGUGUUUUAGUCGGAAUCCAUAUGACAGUUCUUUGAUUUUUGAUGCCCAUAUAGUGUGAUCUAGGUGCCAGCAUGGGCUACAAAGGGCUGCCCAUAUAGUGUGAUCUGGUGAUGUGUAUCUGUGUUUUAGUCGGAAUCCAUAUGACAGUUCUUUAGUGCUUUAGGCUCAUCAAAUUCAAUAUUUUUAUCUAGGAAACUUGACACUUAUUUAGGUUAUUGGACAAUAUGUUCACCUUUGUUAUGUUUUGAAAAUGUAUAUAUUUGUCGAAUGCGUCAAAAAACAUACAUGGUAAUUUUCCUUUUAUGGUCAUUCUAUCUACAAGUUGUUCAUGUUCCGUUACGGUGGUGAGUUGCGCUGAUGAAUGGUGGUGCAUUGACCCAUUAAUUAAAGAGUAUGGAUGUUUUUGUCGAUGUUUGAUCAGACCAAGCACACAAUGAUUCACUUAUUUACGAGAUAUGGUAUAACUGCUAGAUGGAACAUGGUGUACCGGUACCAGGAAGGUGUGAGGUGAUUGAUGAAAAACGGGCAUUUGGAACAAUUGAAGACUAUACCUUACACUGAUAUACCUAAUGCCUUAUUACUCCUCAUUUGCACUAAACUCUCUAGCUUUUUCUUGCUUUACAGAGAUUUUCUUAAAUAUCAAUUACCUUUUUAAGGAAUCUUAUAGUUUUGAUAUAUAUAUAUAUAUAUAGGUACCAUUUAUUUCUAUAUUUGAACUUCCUAAAUUUUUUCAUAUGUUGCCCUGUUUGUUUUUGCUUUGUCAGGAAUUCCUUUUUAUUGAUAUUUCAAAGCACUGCUAACUUGAAUAGUUAUUGCUUAACCUAGCCCAUUAGGUAAAAUUUUCAUUGAUAUCAAGUACGAUCAGUUUAAAUUCGUGAACAUGCAUAAUUUUUUUUUGGUUAAAUGUACAAGUGCUUAUAAUGCAAAAUACAUGCAUACGUUACGGAACAAACAAUUUAGUCACAAUAUGCUUCUAUGUAGUAUAAAAAUGUAUGCUACAAUUAGGUUAUUUGGUCACUCUUUCUAACCUAUUAUCAUUUUAUUUGUGCUGUGUACAAAGGAUUCAAAGGUUGAUGAAAUAUACAAAGGAUCUCAAAAAAAUAGUAUUGGACAAACAUAAACAUUAUGGCAGGGUUUGCACACUAAAGUUCACAUUUUUGGGACAUUGUAUGUGGCAAGUAGUCAGCAAACAACGUAGCAAAUUGGCCUGGAUCAAACAACCAUGGUAAUAGCAGUGCUUAUACUUAUAGAUGGUUAUUGACUUAGUGUAGUCUAUGUUUUUCUUACUUUUCUUAUAGGUUAGUCAAAUAUGAGCAGGAUAACGAAUCAUGCCCGGUACAGGCAGGUAGUGCUAACCAUGUAUUUUUGGUACUGCCUUAACUGAUAUAAAUUUGAAUAAACAUUAUGUAUAUCCAUGUAGUUCCCUUCCAUUUGCUUCAUAGUUCCCUAACAUUUUUUGUCUUUAUUUUUGAAGCCUCCAACAUCGUCCUGGCCUUUCAUAAAUAGGAUGAAAAGUUUGACUUUGAACUACUCCAGUCCAUUUUCAUUCCUCGCUGUUUCAGGUUAACGCUUAUAAAUAUAUACGUGCACUGCUAAAUUUAACAGUAGGUCAUUAUAUCCCAAUUUUAUUAGAUUUGAAUUCAAGAAGCAAGGUUGUUUUGAUUGGUAAGGUUUAUUCAUGAGACAACACAAUUUUAAGUUGAAAUCAUUUAUUGUCUACUUGAAUUUCAAGUAAAAAUAGUGAAAAUUUGGAAGGCUUAUUUAGUUAAAAUUUGAUUUUUGCUACUUGGGGAACAUCUUUUUGAUUUUAUGAUUUAACAUGUGGAUAUUUGUGAACUUGGAUGAUUAAUCCGCACCGUGAAUGAUCUAAUUCAUAGAGAAAAAUAACCCCGUUUCUUGCUCAUCGUAGAAAAUCAUACUAGCUGAUUCUACCUAUUACAGGAACGUUACAUGGGAGGCCAAACAGAACGAUAAUAGCUCCAUACAAAGGUACACAGGUCUAUCGAUUGCCAUGGUAAAUAUGGAAAUGGCCUUGAGUCCCUCAACAUUGUUAAGCUACAAGUAGUACAUAUACUGUUACGGCAUUAAUUGAAAAUGAUCUAUUAAAUCAAGCAAUAUACAGUUUCAUAUUUUGUUUGAGCAGUAAACUGUGAGUACUAUCACCACCAUUUUCCCAUGUUAUAUUUAAUCUUCCUCUUUGUUGGUAAGAUUAACUUGGAUCUGAGUUAGAUAUAUUUGACAUGGGAAACAGUAAGCUUAUCAUAUGUUACUUGAGCUGUCACUAUUGUUCGUCAAAUCGUUGAAAAUGGUGUGUAUUUCCUGGCUAAUUCUAAUAUGUUAAUUACUUUAGUUUCCUUCUUUUGCCGCAGCGAUGCUUAUAACUGAUGUAAAGGAGCAGAGUUCUAGAUGUUUAUCAAGUGUCUCAUAACACUCCUUGAGUUAUGAUGGCCUAAUUGUAUUUGAAGAUAUAAGGUGUUCAAAAAGAAGUUAGUUGAAUCCUUUGAGCUUCCCCUACAACUUUUGCUCCCUUAGAUGCUCUGAGAUAUUUUUCUUCUACAGUAAGCUCUUCAAGAAGCACUGUGUAACUGAAACAUUUUGCAUAUGAGAAGUACCGAAAGUUAGUAUUCAUCUAACACAAGUUAAUGCCGGGAUCAACAACUUGCCUAUGCCGCACAUGGUGUGCAACCAACAUUUACAUUAGAGAUUCUACUAAUAUAGUAGAUUAUUGUGCGCUUCUUUUGAGGUUGAUUAAAUACCAAUUUCAUUUGGACAUCAUGGUAUUUUAAAUUGUGAUUUUAGGGAUUUAUUAAUUACAGUAAUUUGAA